AUUGAACGCUGGCGGCAGGCCUAACACAUGCAAGUCGAACGAGGGGCGGACGGGUGAGUAAUGUCUGGGAAACUGCCUGACGGAGGGGGAUAACUACGGGAAACGUUCGAUAAUACCGUAUACCAUAGGAUGGACCCCUCGGGUAUUAGCUAGUAGGUGGGGUAAAGGCUCACCUAGGCUACGAUCCCUAGCUGGUCUGAGAGGAUGCCCAGCCACACUGGAACUGAGACACGGUCCAGACUCCUACGGGAGGCAGCAGUGGGGAAUAUUGCACAAUGGGCGAAAGCCUGAUGCAGCCAUGCCGCGUGUAUGAAGAAGGCCUUCGGGUUGUAAAGUACUUUCAGCGGGGAGGCGUUACCCGCAGAAGAAGCACCGGCUAACUCCGUGCCAGCAGCCGCGGUAAUAC
rnacentral:rRNA from 1 species